GAUGAACGCUGGCGGCGUGCCUAACACAUGCAAGUCGAGCGAACGGACGAGAAGUUUGCUUCUUUGAUGUUAGCGGCGGACGGGUGAGUAACACGUGGAUCAUCCACCUAUAAGUCUGGGAUAUUUACGGGAAACCGGAGCUUAUACCGGAUAAUAUUUUGAACCGUAUGGUUCAUAAGUGAAUGACGGCCUUGCUGUCACUUAUAGAUGGUUCUCAGCUGCAUUAGCUAGUUGUUAAGGUAACGGCCUACCAAGGGUACCAUGCAUAGCCGACGUAUGAGGAGGAUCGGCCGCCCUGGAACUGGGACGGGGUCCAGACGCCUACGGGAGGCAGCAGUAGCGAAUCUGCCGCAGUGGGCGAGAGCCUGACGCAGCAGCGCCGAGUGAGAGAUGGAGGUGUCCGGAUCGUGAAGCUCUGUUAUUAGGGAAAAACAGAUGUGUAAGUAACUGUACACGUAGUGACGGUACCUAGUCAAGAAGCCCCGGCUAACUACGUG
rnacentral:rRNA from 1 species